CUCCACCGCCUCCGGUUAAAUCUCCUCCACCUCCUUAUGAAUACAAAUCUCCUCCCCCUCCGGUUAAGUCUCCUCCACCACCGUAUUACUAUCAUUCACCGCCGCCGCCGGUGAAAUCCCCUCCCCCUCCUUAUGUAUACCACUCUCCUCCUCCUCCAGUGAAGUCUCCUCCACCACCUUAUUAUUACCACUCUCCACCACCACCCGUGAAAUCUCCUCCCCCUCCUUAUGUAUAUCACUCUCCUCCACCUCCGAUUAAGUCUCCACCACCACCGUACUACUAUCACUCACCACCACCACCGGUGAAAUCGCCUCCUCCUCCUUACUAUUAUCAUUCUCCACCACCACCGGUUAAAUCUCCACCACCACCAUAUUACUACCAUUCUCCACCACCACCGGUUAAAUCUCCACCACCUCCAUACUACUACCACUCUCCACCUCCUCCGGUCAAGUCUCCACCACCACCGUACUACUAUCACUCUCCGCCUCCUCCGGUCAAGUCUCCUCCACCACCGUACUACUAUCACUCUCCACCUCCUCCGGUCAAGUCUCCUCCACCACCAUACUACUACCACUCUCCCCCUCCUCCGGUGAAGUCUCCACCACCACCGUAUUACUACCACUCUCCUCCUCCUCCGGUUAAAUCUCCACCACCACCAUACUACUAUCACUCUCCACCACCACCGGUCAAAUCCCCACCACCACCAUAUUAUUACCAUUCUCCACCACCACCGGUAAAGUCACCACCUCCACCAUAUUAUUACCAUUCUCCUCCUCCUCCGGUAAAAUCACCACCUCCACCAUAUUAUUAUCACUCUCCUCCUCCUCCAGUGAAAUCACCACCUCCACCUUACUAUUACUCAUCCCCACCACCACCAAAAUCUUACCCUCCACCAUACCACUACUCAUCUCCUCCACCACCACCAAAGUCGUACUCGCCACCAUACUACUACUCAUCACCACCACCUCCUGUGUCGUACCCUCAUCCUCACCCACACCCACACCCACAUCCACUUGUCUUCAAAGUUGUAGGUAAAGUGUAUUGUUACAGAUGUUAUG
rnacentral:lncRNA from 1 species